rnacentral:tRNA from 1 species
GUGGGAGUUGGGGGUAAGUACUCGUCUAGUGGCCAUUUUCGAGCCCUCCCGAAUACAGAAUUAGAAGCCUACCUUGCCAAGGUAAGGGUCGCGAGUUCGAGCCUCGUCUCCCGCU